CAGUGUGUAACCAAGAUGCGUCCGGAAAAUACUUGUAUAAGUAAACACAGAGAAUUUGUUUAAAACAUUUUUUUACCAGACAACGUGUACGGAGUGCUAUGCAGCAGUGAGAACAGUGUCGAGAAGCACCUGGAGAUGGGGAAGAAGCUCCUGGCUGCCGGACAGCUGGCCGACGCACUUUCCCAUUUCCACGCAGCUGUUGACGGUGACCCGAAAAAAUACUUGGCCUACUACAGAAGAGCCACCGUCUACCUGGCCACGGACAAGUCUAAAUCCGCUUUACCGGAUCUAAGCAAAGUCAUCGAGUGUCAUGAUUUCCCCUUGAAGCAGCGUGCUCUAAGCGCGAAUGCGCGAGCACCUGCUUUUCCGUUGUUGACAGUAGUGACAUCUGGACACGUGUGUUUUGUUUAUGUUUCUGUCAUGUCUCCUCCCUGUUCUGUCAUUGGCUGGGAUUUCACGUGUGCCUGUAUUGCCCUCAGCAAGUUUAGAGGCUUAUCAGUUUAGACGCUGAUCAUGUCCACAUAUAUACCGCGCGGCUCCCAGCACACAACGCGGAAGAUUAUCGUAGAGUUAGAUUGGUUCGUGUGGUAAUAGUCACGGUCCAUGUUUAGAGUUAGUUCACGCUGGAUUAUCCGCUCCCAGUUCCUCGUCAUAGUUCAUGUUUCUCGUUUAGUUUAUCGACCCUGUUUUCCGUGACACGACCUUGAUUCAUGUUUAACCCUGUGUAUGCCUGUUUGCCGAUCGCCUGACCUUCGCCUGUUUUGGAUCACGUUUUGGAUUUGUCUGCCUGUCUCUCUUUUAAAAUAAACAACUGUUCAUACUGCAAUUGCAUCCGUCUUAUCUCCGCUCCGUCACGAUACGUGACAUCGAGUUAAACCUGAUUUCACAUCGGAUAGCCCAGAAGAAGCUCAUUAAAGCCUACAGGAAGUUCUCACAGCAGUGACACCCAGACAACGUCCAGGAUCCUGAAGAGAAGAACAAGGCUGAGAAGAAGUUCAUAGACAUCCCACAGGCCAAGGAAGUGCUCACUGAGCCAGCUGUUAUUAGCAGGUGCAGUGCGUAUAGCAGUUAAUGGUAUAGCAGAUAAGGUUGAAUGUAGUAAGAGCUUGAUGGUGGUGUGCUGCAGUGACGACUGGGACCGUACGGCUCAGCUCACCUCUCUGGCCAUGCUGAUGCUGGACUCGCACUACCACACACUCAGGGCCUUCCAGGUACUGAUCGAGAAGGAGUGGAUCAGCUUCAGACACAAGCUGGCCUCGUGUGUCUGCCUUGGAGAUGAAAAUCACGCCAACUCGGAACGAUCCCCUCUCUUUGUGCAGUUCAUCGACUGUGUGUGGCAGAUGAGACCGGUCAGCUACUGAUGCUUUACACCACAACACUGUUGAAUUCUCCAAUCUGAUUGGUCAGAAGGCGUUGGCGACAUUUCUGUAACAGCAAGAUUCUGAUUCCAGCUGCAAGGGAAAUUACAGCUUUAUAGUGAUGUGCUCGUUCUCGUUUCUAUAGUAACAGCUCAUUGACUGGGUCUAGUAUGGCGUACGCAAAACAUAGUCUAAGCUUAAUCGUAAACAUAUUAUAAACAUGUUACUUAAAGAAAAAGACGUAUGAUCAUUGUGAUCUAGUUAAGAUUUAUAAGUUAUCUAUUUAUGGAAGUUUUAUGGUAGUAGUCUCCAGUGUCACGGCAGAGAGGACACUGCACUUUCCAGUUUCUCAGUAACAUUGCAAGUCUUUUUCAUUUCAAGAGUUAGGGGGGGAGAAAGAGAGGUUUGUGAGGGAACUAUUGUUUUAUUUUAAUGUUCUAAAGUAAGAGAUCAUAAUGAGUACUAACUCUCUUUUCCAGGACCUUCCACAGGGCUUCAAAUGGCGACUAAAAUGGUUGCUAUGCGACCAACUUUUUAAUUUUGCGACCAUGUUUUUUCUGCUAGUCGCCAGUGGCAACCAUUACCCACAAACAAAAUUAAAAAACGAAUUAAAUAGAAAUGACUAUACGUCUUGUUGUGUUAGGCUACUGAACUCACAUCCCCUCUUGCGCAUGCGUGUACCUGCCCUAGCGCCUGCACUCCUGUAUGGUUUCCAUAGAUGAACAGAAACAGAUUUAACAUCACGUUUAUCGGGUUAAAAAGUUGGAAGUGAACUUUAUUAAAGGUGUUUAAUUUAGUUUGAUGUGGUUUAGUUCAUUGGAAUUUGACUGUAUCUGUUAUAUGUAGGCUAGCUAACUGCGUAGUUAACUAACGUUAGCCAGCUGAGAAGAAAAAUAUCAGACUUUUUCCUCAUUCCCUGCCUGUCCAAACCCUGCCUCCUCUACAUCAGAUGCCGACGAUGUUGAGACCAACUCGACCAGUGAAAGUUCUCAAGUGACAUUUGAGUCAUCCCAGCCCGUUUCAAUCGGUGUGCAAUCUUUUACAGAUGAUGACAGCCAAGCGCAGCGAGUUGAGUCUUCUCCCGUCUCUGCAGCUCUCAUCCCGACAAGACAGUUUAAAUCAGCUUGGCUACAAGAGUUCGCCUGGUUACGUUAUGACAAAGGGGAAAUGUACUGCACCUUUUGUGCUAAAGCAGGACAAGAUAUUGCUGGUAAAACAGAGUUCAUUACCAGUUCGAGUCAUUUUAAAAAAGAAACCGUGAAGAAGCAUGCAGCCAGUUAAAAACAUAAGCACGCCAGGGAUUGUGUCAUUGCUAGGUCUGCCCCUCGUGCCACCCCAAUCGUGAAAGCAGUGCAACGUGCUAGUGAUAAAGUCACUGAAAAAGAGAUGAGGGAAUUGAAAAUAAAAUUCAAUGUAGCCUACAUGACUCUGAGCCUGAAUAAGCAGGAAAUGAAUAAAAAAAGUGAAAAAAAAGAAACAAAUGACUGCACAUUUAAGUAUUUACGGUAAUUUUUUUACACUCU